AUGUAUAGAAUUAUUGAAUCAUCAUACUGUACACCUGAAGCUAAUAUAACACUGUAUUUUAAUUAUACUUCAGCAAAAUAUAUAUUCAUUGAUAUCUUAAUUAUAAAUAAUCUUUUUAUGCUCAUCUUAUGUGAUGAUUCCUCCCUGUUCAGUCUAUCAGGUCACAAUGUAUGCAAGGAGCAGAUAAACAAUCAGUUGUCCAAUGGAAUGUCAUCCAGUGUAACAAAGAGGAAAAAAACACUAAGGGUACAGCACACUCCCUGGUGAUGAUGCAGAAUAAGCAUGUGCCAACUAUAUGAGGCUGCCUGGAGGACAAUCUCAGCACAGUGACAUGACCUAAAAAAUAACAAAUCUCCCCUCUCCCCCAAAAGCCUGGAGAAGCAAUGAGAUCUUCACUUAGUCUCUUGAGGAGAAAGUGGUGGAAGAAUUACAAUACACAGUACACAGUAGGAGUUCCUAAGGAUCCUCUAAGACAACUCUCUCUAAUAUCCCACUGACAUGUCAACUGCCCCACUUCUUCCUCAGGACUCCCCUUUCUGUUCUCCUCUCUGCUACGGUUCCUCUCUGCCUUAUAAGCCCCUUUCCUUUCUUUUAUCCUUUGUGUUGACUUCUGGACAGUACUUCUCAAGUCCACAUCAGAUGGUCUAACCAGAGAACUGGUCCUUCCUCCUUAGAGGUGGGAGGAGUGGCAAUUCAUAAGCAUUAUAACUUAAUAUUUCCCCUUAAUACUUGCGUGCUGGGUGAUUUGGAGUAUUAGGGUGUGUCCUGGAUUCUUAGUUGUCACCUGUCUCCUGUUGCAAGUGAGUCAUGAGGCCCUGAUAAUUCCUUUCCAUGGCUAUCUUGGCCAGGCAGAGAGCCAAACCACCUGUACUCACAGUCUUUUCACUCAUUUGCAAAAUCCUGAAUCCUCAAAAGAGAUUGUGCUGCAAGUCCUGGAGGAGACCAGGAGAAGAAACAGCCAUGUUUGAGAAACAGCCAUGCUGAGGGAAGAGAUUAGAUUCCUUCUCAUGUAGCAGGAAGAGGACAAGUGAUCUGAGGCUGUGCACAGGGCAGCAACUUGUGCUGCGCUCCAUGGCACUGCCAGAAGGAAAGUGCCACAGCUACUCCACAUAUGAAGCCUUUGUGCCAACUGGGAGAUGUGCCCCCUGUGGGUAGAUGUAGGCCAAAAGGAAUACAGCUUACGAACAAAU
rnacentral:lncRNA from 1 species